CCUACGGGAGGCAGCAGUGAGGAAUAUUGGUCAAUGGGCGCGAGCCUGAACCAGCCAAGUCGCGUGAGGGAAGACGGUCCUAUGGAUUGUAAACCUCUUUUGUCGGGGAGCAAAAGACGCCACGCGUGGCGUUCCGAGAGUACCCGAAGAAAAAGCAUCGGCUAACUCCGUGCCAGCAGCCGCGGUAAUACGGAGGAUGCGAGCGUUAUCCGGAUUUAUUGGGUUUAAAGGGUGCGCAGGCGGAAGAUCAAGUCAGCGGGAAAAUUGAGAGGCUCAACCUCUUCGAGCCGUUGAAACUGGUUUUCUUGAGUGAGCGAGAAGUAUGCGGAAUGCGUGGUGUAGAGGUGAAAUGCAUAGAUAUCACGCAGAACUCCGAGUGCGAAGGCAGCAUACCGGCGCCCAACUGACGCUGAAGCACGAAAGCGUGGGUAUCGAACAGGAUUAGAUACCCCUGUAGUC
rnacentral:rRNA from 1 species